rnacentral:tRNA from 1 species
CCCUGGGUGGCGCUAAUGGUUAAGUACUCAGCUACUAACUGAAAGGUUGGUGGUUCGAAUCUACCCACAGGUA